rnacentral:rRNA from 1 species
CCCUUAGAUGUUCUGGGCUGCACGCGCGCGACAAUGACGUUUGCAACGAGAUUGCGAGGCCGUCAGGUCGAGCUGAUCUUGCAAGCUGCGUCGUGAUAGGGACAGUCGAUUGCAAUUAUUCGACUCGAACGAGGAAUUCCUUGUAAUCGCGCAUCAUCAGUGCGCGCUGAAUACGUCCCUGCCCUUUGUACACACCGCCCGUCGCUCCUACCGAUUGAGUGAUCCGGGGAAUGUUUUGGAUCGGCUUCAAGUUGGUUCGCGCCUCUUGCUUGCUGUGAAAUCAUGUAAACCUUAUUGCUUAGAGGAAGGAGAAGUCGUAACA